GAGACACGGUCCAGACUCCUACGGGAGGCAGCAGUGGGGAAUAUUGCACAAUGGGCGCAAGCCUGAUGCAGCCAUGCCGCGUGUAUGAAGAAGGCCUUCGGGUUGUAAAGUACUUUCAGCGGGGAGGUAAUGGCGCCCGUCGGCGCGGCGUUGCUGGGACUGCGCGUCGGCGACACCAUUCACUGGGAACUGCCGGGCGGCGCCUCCACCCAUCUCGAAGUGCUGGAACUCGAAUAUCAGCCUGAAGCCGCG
rnacentral:rRNA from 1 species